GGGGACACCUUUCUGGAGGACUUGAGUCCCGGAUGCUGUGGCUGCCCAUUCUUCCUGGGGUUAGAGCCCCCUUAUCGUAAGCCACACGCCUGCAGGAGCAAAGCAGCUCACUAUAGGAGGAAAGGAUCAUAUCCUGGCAUCUCUCAAAGCCCCGGGCAGCUCUGCCAGCCUCUGCUGAGUCAUGGAUGAGCAAGGACCAGGCUGAUUCUAUUUACGUGGUAUUUGCAUCCCUGUCCAGAAGCCUCUUGGGAGCCUAUUCUCUCUGCUCAUUGGGAAUGCACGGUGCCCAGUUGAUUCGUCUUGCUAGUCUUGAUGGCAUGCAGAGACUAAAUGUAUCCAGGCUCAUGAAUAAACUCCACAGCCCCAAAGGGCUCCUGUCUGGUUCCACUUUCCAGUGUGUAGCCCGAAGAGGCCAAGGUAACAGAGCUGAGGGGCGAUUGCCCUGUCUCCUUGGAAAUGAUCUUUUGCUUCUAAAACCAAAGAGCAGGAAGGACGGACAUCUGUGGAGACCUUCAGUAAUUUAUAGUGGGGGAGUGCAGAUCUGGGCAGGCUGCUCUCCGAGGCACCACUGUGCUCAGCUGAUCGAGGGUGGCAGCCUUGUGCUUCCUUCUCCUUUCUGCCAAGGUCUGGGUACAAAAAGUUGGAGCAGACAAUGUGUGCAGAGCAAGAUGACUCUGCUGCCCAUGGGACACAGUGUGAACUUAGCAUG
rnacentral:lncRNA from 1 species